rnacentral:rRNA from 1 species
AGUGAACGCUGGCGGUAGGCCUAACACAUGCGAGUCGAACGGCAGCACAGUAAGAGCUUGCUCUUACGGGUGGCGAGUGGCGGACGGGUGAGGAAUACAUCGGAAUCUACUUUUUCGUGGGGGAUAACGUAGGGAAACUUACGCUAAUACCGCAUACGACCUACGGGUGAAAGCAGGGGAUCUUCGGACCUUGCGCGAUUGAAUGAGCCGAUGUCGGAUUAGCUAGUUGGCGGGGUAAAGGCCCACCAAGGCGACGAUCCGUAGCUGGUCUGAGAGGAUGAUAAGCCACACUGGAACUGAGACACGGUCCAGACUCCUACGGGAGGCAGCAGUGGGGAAUAUUGGACAACGGGCGCAAGCAUGAUCCAGCCAUACCGCGUGGGUGAAGAAGGCCUUCGGGUUGUAAAGACCUUUUGUUGGGAAAGAAAAGCAGCAGGUUAAUACCACGCUGUUCUGACGGUACCCAAAGAAUAAGCACCGGCUAACUUCGUG